rnacentral:rRNA from 1 species
UACGUAGGGGGCAAGCGUUGUCCGGAAUCAUUGGGCGUAAAGAGCGUGUAGGCGGUUCGAUAAGUCGGCUGUGAAAGUCCAGGGCUCAACCCUGGGAUGCCGGUCGAAACUGUCGGACUAGAGUUCGGAAGAGGCGAGUGGAAUCCCGGUGUAGCGGUGAAAUGCGCAGAUAUCGGGAGGAACACCAAUGGCGAAGGCAG